AAUUGUUAAGUUGAUUUCAACCAGUCAACGCCACUCUGAUUUGCUGAGACCGCACGUCAUCAUAAACUCCACUCUGAUAUGCCGAGGCAAAACACGCUCAACAUUUUUUGGCUGCUGCAGUAGCUCAGCUCAGCUCAGCUCAUUCAGUUCAGCUCGCUCAGCUCAGCUCCGCUCCGGACCGGACUCAGCUGCCAAGCUAUAAGAUGGAGUCAUGAAAUGUGACGGGACAGCCACCGAGGACUUCAUACUUCGGAGCAUCUCAAACAUGCACCACAAAGACGUGGAGGACACACCGCUGUCUCUCAGGACCUAGAAUCUUAAUGAAAGUAUAAUGAUGUUAAGGGAAGGUGUAGUGGAAAGGUGUGAUAGUGUUGAGGGAAGGUGUAAUGUUAAAGGUGUGAUAGUGUUGAGGGAAGGUGUAAUAGUGUUGAGGGAAGGGGUAAUGUUAAAGGUGUAAUAGUGUUAAGGGAAGGUAUAAUAUUGUUAAGGGAAGGUGUAAUGCAGGGGUCUCAAACUCAUUUUUGCCGAGGGCCACAUUGACAUAUUGGCUGUCCUCUGAGGGCCAGAUGUAACUUACAAAUAUAAGAAAAUGUAACCAGAUGUCAUAUAAAAUGAGUGUAAUUACUCCUUAAUGUUAAAUAACUCUCAAUAUACUAUUUAUUCAAUCAAAUAUUACAGUUGCAUGGAAAAAUGUUUGCUUGUUGCUCUAUUAACAUAAAUCCUUUUAAUUUGUCAUGUUAUGAAAUCCAAAAACUCCAUCAAUCAAGAACCAAACUAUUCAAGUGAAUAGAAAUUACAUCAAGUACAAGUUAUAUUAACUUUGAUCAAAACGUUUGAUACUGAAAUAAGGCUUAAUAAAUAUAAAAUCAAAAAUUGUGAGCUGUGACAGAUUUAGCAUUUCCUCAGAUUUAGCAGUUCCUCAUCCAACCACUAGUCGGAGCUGCAGCUGCAGCACCACAAGCCCGCAGUCUUUGCUUGGUCAGAGCUACAGCCCAGCCACGGGCUACAGGACUCAGCUGAGCCUGUCUGGAGCGUUUUGAAAUUUUUUAAGUUCUUCUGUGUAUGAAAUAAAAUAACCCCACUAACCGGAUAAUACAGCUCUCUACAGUUCAUCUUUCAGCCCAAGCAGCUAACAGCAGCAGUUUAGAGCAGCGUCACGGAGGCACUGCUCGGAUUACAUUAUAAACAGGUCAGUUAGCGCGCUGCUAACCUCAGGAUGUUUAUAACUACGGAGUUUAGUGGACACACCACGGCUGCAAGGUUAGACUGCUGAAGGCUACUGAAGACUAUUAAAGCAGGCAACGCAGCGUAAGCAAAAAAAAAACAAAAACCACACACACACACCAAAAUACAAGUUAAGAUAAAAUAUGAAAACGAACAUAAUAAAGCAUAAAUAAUUAAAUUGAAUUGCGGGCCAGAUGUAUGUUUAUUUUGUUAACCCGUGAGGGGCCGUAUGAAACCGCGUGGGCCGGUACUUUGAGACCCCUGGUGUAAUGUAAAGGUGUAAUAGUGUUGAGGGAAGGUAUAAUAUUGUUAAGGGAAGGUGUAAUGUAAAGGUGUAAUAGUGUUGAGGGAAGGUAUAAUAUUGUUAAGGGAAGGUGUAAUGUAAAGGUGUAAUAGUGUUGAGGGAAGGUAUAAUAUUGUUAAGGGAAGGUGUAAUGUAAAGGUGUAAUAGUGUUGAGGGAAGGUAUAAUAUUGUUAAGGGAAGGUGUAAUGUAAAGGUGUAAUAGUGUUGAGGGAAGGUAUAAUAUUGUUAAGGGAAGGUGUAAUGUAAAGGUGUAAUAUUGUUAAGGGAAGGUGUAAUGUAAAGGUGUAAUAGUGUUAAGGGAAGGUAUAAUAUUGUUAAGGGAAGGUGUAAUGUAAAGGUGUAAUAGUGUUGAGGGAAGGUAUAAUAUUGUUAAGGGAAGGUGUAAUGUAAAGCUGUAAUAGUUUUAAGGGAAGGUAAAUGUUUAGUGAAAUUGUUAUGGUGUGAAUCUAAGGUGUAUGUUAUGUUGAUGUAAAAUAAAGGCAUUAACCCCAAA